UAAUACAGAGGGGGCAAGCGUUGUUCGGAAUUACUGGGCGUAAAGGGCGCGUAGGCGGCCUGCUAAGUCGAACGUGAAAUCCCCGGGCUCAACCCGGGAACUGCGUCCGAUACUGACAGGCUUGAAUCCGGGAGAGGGAUGUGGAAUUCCAGGUGUAGCGGUGAAAUGCGUAGAUAUCUGGAGGAACACCGGUGGCGAAGGCGGCAUCCUGGACCGGCAUUGACGCUGAGGCGCGAAAGCCAGGGGAGCAAACGGGAUUAGAUACCCCGGUAGUCCUGGCCCUAAACGAUGAAUGCUUGGUGUGGCGGGUAUCGAUCCCUGCCGUGCCGAAGCUAACGCAUUAAGCAUUCCGCCUGGGGAGUACGGUCGCAAGGCUG
rnacentral:rRNA from 1 species